rnacentral:lncRNA from 1 species
CUCUGCCCUACUGUGUGUGUGUGUGUGUGUGUGUUACUGGAGAUAGAAUCUCAGUCCUGAGUUACAUCUGCAGCCCUUUGUACUUUACUUUGAGCUGGCUCUCAUUAAGUUGCUAAAUUGCCCAAGCUGGGAUCAAAAACACAGUCCUCUUGCCUCAGCCUCCCAGAGUGCUGGGAUGACAGGUCUGGGCCACCCUGGCUCUUCCUUCACCCAGGAGAGCUCAUGAGAGCCGGCCCAGGAUGUCCUGGGAGCAGUCACCCAGUCUGUCCUGCUCACGGUGCUGGUUGAACAAGAGGCUACGGUAUGGAGCUGCUGGCUACCCAAUGACAUUGUGGAGAAGCCCUGAGGAUAUUGGCAGAAGGUGGGCUGAGCAAUGGAAGAAAACAGAGCCUGUACCAGGGGGUCCUGAAGCCAGACUGUCUUGAAGUUUUCAGCUUAGAGUCAGCUUCACUGGGUGACCACAAAUCUCCGGUGCUGCAGCUGACCGCUCUGGGUUAUGGUGAGUUAUGUGAGUUCAGCCCUGCGACCGCCAGCCCCUGGAGGACAAAGAUGGAGCUUGAUUAUCUGCUCUCAGUUUGCAGGAAGGAGCUUGCCUGUCUUCUGUUGUUUGCCUUCAUGUCCUGUGUGAGUCUGGUCACUCUGUGGCUGCUGGGGGCCAUCAUUUGUUACUCCUCUUGUCUUCCUUGUGUGAUACAUGUGAUACACAUUUGACUGGUAUUGAUGGAUUUCCUUUUCUUUUGCAGGCACUCAUCACGGUCAGCCUAUCUCCUUGCAAGAAAGGAACUUGCAGAAGUUGCUCAUCAGCUUGUGUAAACUCCAUGAGCACAAUCUCAUGGUGCCUUACAGGAAAAAGUGUGUUGGGGGUGUGGGUUGCCUCAUGUUGAUGUGUCUAUUUCCAAAAUUUCCAAAUGCCACAUUGUAACAGUCUGUAUGAAUAAAGAGUUUGGGUCAUAUUCAGGUACAUGAGGUAAUUUUGGAGCUGAAGUUCAGACGUCCAAUAAAUAUUGGCCAAAUGAGUAAAUGAGUGAGUGGUAGAAAUGAAGAUGAGCUGAAAAAUUAAGAUUUUCU